rnacentral:lncRNA from 1 species
AUAUAGAAGCGAUAUCCAAAAGUUAAUUUAAGGAUAUCCCACAAGAUUGUUAUCAAACAAAUAUUGCUUAUUAGCACACAACCCCAAAUCUUAACAUGUUUUAAGAUUUGUCUUUCUUUCCAACUACAUCUUAUGGAGUCAUGAAAAAUAUUGGAAGAUCUUCUAAUUGACAAUCAUAUUGUUUUUAGAAGUAUAUAUCCUAUAUAUGGGUAAUAGAUAACAUCUAACGAACUAAAUCUUAUUCGAGUUCGUUCUUCUCCUAAAGGAGAAAUUCAUUAUCUUAUGAUGCUAUUUUCCUUGAUAUCUUUCAAGGAAAUUGUUCUAAAGUGUUACCUUAUCUUGGAUCAAAUCUAAGGAGGUAAAUACUUUAGAUGUCUUACUCAUCAACUUACAUUUACUUGAAUUCUUUGAAACAUUUUGCAAAGUAUUCGGACUUG